AGUGAACGCUGGCGGUAGGCCUAACACAUGCAAGUCGAACGGCAGCACAGUAAGAGCUUGCUCUUACGGGUGGCGAGUGGCGGACGGGUGAGGAAUACAUCGGAAUCUACUUUUUCGUGGGGGAUAACGUAGGGAAACUUACGCUAAUACCGCAUACGACCUACGGGUGAAAGCAGGGGAUCUUCGGACCUUGCGCGAUUGAAUGAGCCGAUGUCGGAUUAGCUAGGUGGCGGGGUAAAGGCACACCAAGGCGACGAUCCGUAGCUGGUCUGAGCGGAUGAUCAGCCACACUAGCACUGAGACGCGGCACAGACUCCUACGGGGGGCAGCUGUGGAGAAUACUGGACAAGGGGAGCAAGUCUCAGCCAGCCAUACCGCGUGGGUGGAGAAGGCCUGCGGCGUGUAAAGCUCUUUUGUUGGAAAAGAAAAGCAGCAGGUUACUACCCCGCUGUUCUGACGGUACCCAAAGAAUAAGCACCGGCUAACCUCG
rnacentral:rRNA from 1 species